UUCAGAAUCGCUGAUCAACACGGAGGGCAUGUCAAUAAUAGGAUUCUCAGUGCCUCUUCCAUUUUGUUGAACGGGUCAAAUAAACAUGUGUCUCUUGAAAUCAGGGUUUCAUAAACACAUCCGGUGCUGCCUGACUGAAAACACCUUUCCUCUUGUUCUGAGGAGCUGAUGGCCCCACCAGUAUAUACUAUUCCCUCCUUCAAUCUUUCCAACAACAAUUUUGUGGAGUACAUUGGGCUGAGUGACUGGCCCAAAUCACUCAAUGAAAGUAGACUUGAACUUGGUCCUUCUAUAUGCACAGUCUUAACCAUUAGACUAUACUGGUUUAGAAUCUAGGGUACAUUCUGAAAUGUUUGUAAGA